rnacentral:rRNA from 1 species
GAAUAUUGGACAAUGGGGGAAACCCUGAUCCAGCGACGCCGCGUGAGUGAAGAAGGCCUUAGGGUUGUAAAGCUCUUUCGCCGGGAAAGAUGAUGACGGUACCCGGAGAAGACGCCCCGGCUCACUCCGUGCCAGCAGCCGCGGUAACACGGAGGGGGCUAGCGUUGUUCGGAAUGACUGGGCGUAAAGCGCGCGUAGGCGGUUCGGCAAGUUGGAUGUGAAAGCCCGGGGCUCAACCCCGGAUGUGCGUUCAAGACUGCCGGACUAGAGACCGAGAGAGGAGGGCGGAAUUCCCAGUGUAGAGGUGAAAUUCGUAGAUAUUGGGAAGAACACCGGUGGCGAAGGCGGCUCUCUGGCUCGGUUCUGACGCUGAGGUGCGAAAGCGUGGGGAGCAAACAGG